rnacentral:rRNA from 1 species
CGGUGGAGUAUGUGGUUUAAUUCGAUGCAACGCGAAGAACUUACCUGGUCUUGACAUCCCGGAGACCCUUAGGAAACUAGGGGUGCUUCCAUCUGGAAGAAUCUGGAGACAGGUGCUGCAUGGCUGUCGUCAGCUCGUGUCGUGAGAUGUUGGGUUAAGUCCCGCAACGAGCGCAACCCUUGCCUUUAGUUGCCAGCAAUUCGGCUGGGCACUCUAAAGGGACUGCCGGUGUUAAACCGGAGGAAGGUGGGGGAUGACGUCAAGUCCUCAUGGCCUUUAUGACCAGGGCUACACACGUACUACAAUGGCCGAUACAAAGGGCAGCGACACUGCGAGGUGAAGCCAAUCCCGUAAAAUCGGUCUCAGUCCGGAUUGGAGUCUGCAACUCGACUCCAUGAAGUUGGAAUCGCUAGUAAUCGUGGAUCAGCAUGCCACGGUGAAUACGUUCCCGGGCCUU